rnacentral:rRNA from 1 species
CAGUAGCCGCGGUAAUACGUAGGUGGCAAGCGUUGUCCGGAAUUAUUGGGCGUAAAGGGCUCGCAGGCAGUUUCUUAAGUCUGAUGUGAAAGCCCCCGGCUCAACCGGGGAGGGUCAUUGGAAACUGGGAAACUUGAGUGCAGAAGAGGAGAGUGGAAUUCCACGUGUAGCGGUGAAAUGCGUAGAGAUGUGGAGGAACACCAGAGGCGAAGGCGACUCUCUGGUCUGUAACUGACGCUGAGGAGCGAAAGCGUGGGGAGCGAACAGGAUUAGAUACCCCCGUAGUCCCUGUCUCUUAUAC